AAUCUGUGUGACUGCGUACCUUUUGUAUAAUGGGUCAGCGACUUAUAUUCUGUAGCAAGGUUAACCGAAUAGGGGAGCCGAAGGGAAACCGAGUCUUAACUGGGCGUUAAGUUGCAGGGUAUAGACCCGAAACCCGGUGAUCUAGCCAUGGGCAGGUUGAAGGUUGGGUAACACUAACUGGAGGACCGAACCGACUAAUGUUGAAAAAUUAGCGGAUGACUUGUGGCUGGGGGUGAAAGGCCAAUCAAACCGGGAGAUAGCUGGUUCUCCCCGAAAGCUAUUUAGGUAGCGCCUCGUGAAUUCAUCUCCGGGGGUAGAGCACUGUUUCGGCAAGGGGGUCAUCCCGACUUACCAACCCGAUGCAAACUGCGAAUACCGGAGAAUGUUAUCACGGGAGACACACGGCGGGUGCUAACGUCCGUCGUGAAGAGGGAAACAACCCAGACCGCCAGCUAAGGUCCCAAAGUCAUGGUUAAGUGGGAAACGAUGUGGGAAGGCCCAGACAGCCAGGAUGUUGGCUUAGAAGCAGCCAUCAUUUAAAGAAAGCGUAAUAGCUCACUGGUCGAGUCGGCCUGCGCGGAAGAUGUAACGGGGCUAAACCAUGCACCGAAGCUGCGGCAGCGACGCUUAUGCGUUGUUGGGUAGGGGAGCGUUCUGUAAGCCUGCGAAGGUGUGCUGUGAGGCAUGCUGGAGGUAUCAGAAGUGCGAAUGCUGACAUAAGUAACGAUAAAGCGGGUGAAAAGCCCGCUCGCCGGAAGACCAAGGGUUCCUGUCCAACGUUAAUCGGGGCAGGGUGAGUCGACCCCUAAGGCGAGGCCGAAAGGCGUAGUCGAUGGGAAACAGGUUAAUAUUCCUGUACUUGGUGUUACUGCGAAGGGGGGACGGAGAAGGCUAUGUUGGCCGGGCGACGGUUGUCCCGGUUUAAGCGUGUAGGCUGGUUUUCCAGGCAAAUCCGGAAAAUCAAGGCUGAGGCGUGAUGACGAGGCACUACGGUGCUGAAGCAACAAAUGCCCUGCUUCCAGGAAAAGCCUCUAAGCAUCAGGUAACAUCAAAUCGUACCCCAAACCGACACAGGUGGUCAGGUAGAGAAUACCAAGGCGCUUGAGAGAACUCGGGUGAAGGAACUAGGCAAAAUGGUGCCGUAACUUCGGGAGAAGGCACGCUGAUAUGUAGGUGAAGUCCCUCGCGGAUG
rnacentral:rRNA from 1 species